UUUUAUUUCGAAAGUAAAAGAUCUAAAUGGUUUUGUUGUUUUUUGUGUCAAAAAAAUUUUUUAAAGUCAUUUAGUUGUAAAAUGUUAAUCGUUUUUACUAAUAUCUAAUAACUUUAUAAAAAAAUUUAGUUUAAAUUGUUGAGGAUUUCUUUAUUUUUAAGAUGGUUUAUAUACAUGGGUAUAUUUUAGGGGAUGAGCUCUAAAAUAAAAUUAUAAGAAUAAAUUAUUUAAAAUUUUUAGUAGGUUUAGAAUUGGCCAUAAGAUAGUGUUAUAAGAUAAAAAAUAAAGUUUAAAAUUUAUUUUUCUUUUAUUUAUAUAAAGUUAAUUAUUAAAUAGGGAAUAUUUUGAAAAUAUGAUAGUAUUAGUAGAUAAAAAUAUAGUGAAAUUUUUUUGAAUUUUUCAAUAUAUAAGAAAGAACAUAAGUAAAAUAAAAGAACUCGGCAAACAAGAUUUCCGAAUGUUUAACAAAAACAUUUCCUCUUAAAUAAGGGAGGUAAGGCCUGCUCACUGAAAUUUAAAGAGCCGCAGUAUUCUGACUGUGCUAAGGUAGCAUAAUCAUUAGUCUUUUAAUUGGAGACUGGUAUGAAUGGCUAAACGAGAAAUCAACUUUUUUUAUUUUAAUAAUUGAAUUUAAUUUUUUAGUGAAAAAGCUAAAAUUGUUUAGAAAGACGAGAAGACCCUAUAGAGUUUUAUAUUUUUUUUGAAUUUUUUUUAAAAUUGAUUAGAAAAGUAAAAUUUGAAAAAAAUAUUUUGUUGGGGCGACGUUAAGAUAAGAAAAACUCUUUAUAAAAAAAAUUUUUAUGAAAAAUUUGUUUGAUCCUUUAGAAAAGAUUAAAAGAAAAAAUUACCUUAGGGAUAACAGCGUAAUCUUUUUGGAGAGUUCUAAUCGAUAAAAAGGUUUGCGACCUCGAUGUUGGACUAAAAUUUAAACA
rnacentral:rRNA from 1 species